CUCCUCAGUAUUCAAUAGGAGCCGUGGACAUUGCUUAGAAAGACAAAACUUCAUUGAAGACCUUCAGAAUGGUCCCAUCAGAAAGAAUCGGGAUUCCAGUGUAUCCAGAACAAGUGGCUUUGAAGACUCAGAGCAUAUGAUGGAACCAGUUCACACAGCUAAUAAGUCUGUUAACCAAGGACCGAAGUAUAACCUACAUCAGACCCCAGGUUACCCAACAUCUCGGCAUUUCCAUACCCAGACCCAAGAUUUGCAGCAAUCAGAAAGAAAAUUUUCACAGAAUCAGAACAUUUACCAGAGAGGCCAUGUUCCUCCUCCUGGUCCCCACGGAUAGGACCAUUUACACAGGAGGUACUCUUGGAAUGUAAAGCCAAAUGCCAGUCAAGCAGCGCAGAACAGAAGGUGGUAUCCUGGCGGUUACUACAGACUACCCUAUCCGACCUCUUAUAGAUGGACCAAGUGACACAAGCCUACUGUGGAAAUCUAUCUAGAGACAGAACAGGACUGAAGACAGCCAGAGUGACUUUUUAUAAGAUCAGGUCAAAUGAGGUUUAUAAUCUCUUUUAGU